rnacentral:rRNA from 1 species
GUACACACCGCCCGUCACACCAUGGGAGUUGGUUCGACCCGAAGCCGGUGCGCUAACCUCGCAAGAGGAGGCAGCCGUCCACGGUCGGGUCAGCGACUGGGGUGAAGUCGUAACAAGGUUUCCGUAGGUGAACCUGCAGAAGGAUCA